rnacentral:rRNA from 1 species
GUGUCAGCAGCCGCGGUAAUACGUAGGUGGCGAGCGUUGUCCGGAAUUACUGGGUGUAAAGGGCGUGUAGGCGGGAUAUUAAGUCAGAUGUGAAAUUCCGAGGCUCAACCUCGGCGCUGCAUCUGAAACUAAUGUUCUUGAGUGCUGGAGAGGAAAGCGGAAUUCCUAGUGUAGCGGUGAAAUGCGUAGAUAUUAGGAGGAACACCAGUGGCGAAGGCGGCUUUCUGGACAGUAACUGACGCUGAGGCGCGAAAGCGUGGGGAGCAAACAGGAUUAGAUACCCUGGUAGUCCACGCUGUAAACGAUGGAUACUAGGUGUAGGAGGUAUCGACUCCUCCUGUGCCGGAGUUAACACAAUAAGUAUCCCACCUGGGGAGUACGGCCGCAAGGUUGAA